rnacentral:rRNA from 1 species
AGAGUUUGAUCCUGGCUCAGGACGAACGCUGGCGGCACGCUUAACACAUGCAAGUCGAACGAGAGAAGAGGAGCUUGCUUUUCUGAUCUAGUGGCGGACGGGUGAGUAACACGUGAGCAAUCUGCCUUUCAGAGGGGGAUACCGAUUGGAAACGAUCGUUAAUACCGCAUAACAUAAUUGAACCGCAUGAUUUGAUUAUCAAAGAUUUAUCGCUGAAAGAUGAGCUCGCGUCUGAUUAGCUAGUUGGUAAGGUAACGGCUUACCAAGGCGACGAUCAGUAGCCGGACUGAGAGGUUGAUCGGCCACAUUGGGACUGAGACACGGCCCAGACUCCUACGGGAGGCAGCAGUGGGGAAUAUUGCACAAUGGAGGAAACUCUGAUGCAGCGAUGCCGCGUGAGGGAAGAAGGUUUUAGGAUUGUAAACCUCUGUCUUCAGGGACGAAAAAAGACGGUACCUGAGGAGGAAGCUCCGGCUAACUACGUGCCAGCAGCCGCGGUAAUACGUAGGGAGCGAGCGUUGUCCGGAAUUACUGGGUGUAAAGGGAGCGUAGGCGGGAUCGCAAGUCAGAUGUGAAAACUAUGGGCUUAACCCAUAAACUGCAUUUGAAACUGUGGUUCUUGAGUGAAGUAGAGGUAAGCGGAAUUCCUAGUGUAGCGGUGAAAUGCGUAGAUAUUAGGAGGAACAUCAGUGGCGAAGGCGGCUUACUGGGCUUUAACUGACGCUGAGGCUCGAAAGCGUGGGGAGCAAACAGGAUUAGAUACCCUGGUAGUCCACGCCGUAAACGAUGAUUACUAGGUGUGGGGGGACUGACCCCUUCCGUGCCGCAGCAAACGCAAUAAGUAAUCCACCUGGGGAGUACGACCGCAAGGUUGAAACUCAAAGGAAUUGACGGGGGCCCGCACAAGCAGUGGAGUAUGUGGAUUAAUUCGAAGCAACACGAAGAACCUUACCAGGUCUUGACAUCGUAUGCAUAGCUCAGAGAUGAGUGAAAUCUCUUCGGAGACAUAUAGACAGGUGGUGCAUGGUUGUCGUCAGCUCGUGUCGUGAGAUGUUGGGUUAAGUCCCGCAACGAGCGCAACCCUUACUGUUAGUUGCUACGCAAGAGCACUCUAGCAGGACUGCCGUUGACAAAACGGAGGAAGGUGGGGAUGACGUCAAAUCAUCAUGCCCCUUAUGACCUGGGCCUCACACGUACUACAAUGGCUGUCAACAGAGGGAAGCAAAGCUGCGAGGUGGAGCGAACCCCUAAAAGCAGUCUUAGUUCGGAUUGUAGGCUGCAACCCGCCUACAUGAAGUCGGAAUUGCUAGUAAUCGCAGAUCAGCAUGCUGCGGUGAAUACGUUCCCGGGCCUUGUACACACCGCCCGUCACGCCAUGGGAGUCGGUAACACCCGAAGCCUGUAGUCUAACCGCAAGGAGGACGCAGUCGAAGGUGGGAUUGAUGACUGGGGUGAAGUCGUAACAAGGUA